rnacentral:tRNA from 1 species
GAGCCGUUAGCUCAGAUGGAAGAGCACCUGACUUUUAAUCAGGGGGUCCUGGGUUCGAGUCCCAGACGGCUCACCA